rnacentral:rRNA from 1 species
GACGAACGCUGGCGGCGUGCCUAAUACAUGCAAGUCGAGCGAAGUUUUUCUGGUGCUUGCCCUAGAAAAACUUAGCGGCGAACGGGUGAGUAACACGUAAAGAACCUGCCUCAUAGACUGGGACAACUAUUGGAAACGAUAGCUAAUACCGGAUAACAGUAUUUCUCGCAUGGGAGAUAUUUAAAAGUUGGUUAUGCUAACACUAUGAGAUGGCUUUGCGGUGCAUUAGCUAGUUGGUGGGGUAAAGGCCCACCAAGGCGACGAUGCAUAGCCGACCUGAGAGGGUGAUCGGCCACACUGGGACUGAGACACGGCCCAGACUCCUACGGGAGGCAGCAGUAGGGAAUCUUCCGCAAUGGGCGAAAGCCUGACGGAGCAACGCCGCGUGAGUGAAGAAGGAUUUCGGUUCGUAAAGCUCUGUUGUUAGGGAAGAAUGGAUAUGUAGUAACUAUACAUGUAAGAGACGGUACCUAACCAGAAAGCCACGGCUAACUACGU